CGUAGGAGGCGAGCGUUAUCCGGAUUCACUGGGCGUAAAGCGCGUGCAGGCGGUUCGAUAAGUUGGAUAUGAAAUCUCCCGGCUUAACUGGGAGAGGCUAUUCAAUACUACCGGACUAGAGAGUGGUAGAGGAAGAUGGAAUUCCCGGUGUAGUGGUGAGAUGCGUAGAUAUCGGGAGGAACACCAGUGGCGAAAGCGAUCUUCUGACCAUUUCUGACGCUCAGACGCGAAAGCUAGGGUAGUAAACGGGAUUAGAGACCCCGGUAAUCCUAGCCGUAAACGAUGUAAACUUGGUGUCGGUGGCUUUAACUCCUUCGGUACCGAAGCUAACGCGAUAAGUUUACCGCCUGGGGACUACGAUCGCAAGAUUA
rnacentral:rRNA from 1 species